ACCUCGACAGGACACAAUCCACAUUGCUGCUCCGAGCGAGACAAGACUUGCAGAAAAAAGGUCCUAUGACUGAUGUCAAAACCAGUUACACUUACUUUUGAAGUGGCCAUUAUUUUAAUGAAAGUCGUUAAGCAGGAGUGGGUUUUGCUAUCAGUUGUAAACUAACCAGCAAGCUAACCAGACUCUCCAAAGGAUUGACUAUAAUGAACAGUUCCCGAAGAUAGCGACUCCGAUGUUAAAACCAUGUAAUUUGUGGAAACGCGCCAGGCUAUAUUCUCACACUUAUUGCAACUGUCCUUUAGUAAGUCCUGUAAAAUAACUCGAAAUUUGGGCCUCCAGCCACGCCUUCAACGCGAUGCCCUUAAAGCUAGGAAUUUUUCAGAAUCCUCUCGUAUGUAUCCUGAAUAGAUUUCUGGAGAGAGACGCAUUUCGAUAAUUGUUGCAGCUCGAUAGAGCACGAAUUCAAAUCCCAACUAGGUCAUCAUUGCUUUUUUUCAAGUCUCGUACCGGAGUCAAGUACUGGAAUCAAUGAUAUCGACUAAUUCCUUUCUCGAAUUUGCUGAUCCUGUGCCUAAAUGCAGAAUUAUAUUGUGUAACAAAAUUUUCUACUUUUA